UUGUAAUUUGUAGAGGAUGUUUCGGGCGCGGCGCCGCUCUAAGUCCCUUGGAACAGGACGUCACAGAGGGUGAGAAUCCCGUACGCGACCGGAACCAACCCUACAUGAAACUCCUUCGACGAGUCGAGUUGUUUGGGAAUGCAGCUCAAAAUGGGUGGUAAAUUUCAUCUAAAGCUAAAUACCGGCCAGAGACCGAUAGCGCACAAGUAGAGUGAUCGAAAGAUGAAAAGCACUUUGAAAAGAGAGUCAAAAAGUACGUGAAAUUGUUGAAAGGGAAGCGCUUGCAACCAGACCUAUCCGUUGACGGUCAGCCUGUUCUCAGGGGUGCACUCGUCGAUCAGGCCAGCAUCGGUUUGGGUGGUUGGUUAAAGGCCUUGGGAAUGUAGCUCAGACUUAUAGCCCUCGGUGCAAUGCGGCCAGCCCGGAUCGAGGACCGCGCUUCGGCUAGGAUGCUGCCGUAAUGGUUGUCAGCGACCCGUCUUGAAACACGGACCAAGGAGUCUAACAUCUAUGCAAGUGUUUGGGUGUCAAACCCAUUCGCGCAAUGAAAGUGAACGGAGGUGAGAGCCCAGGGUGCAUCAUCGACCGAUCCAGAUG
rnacentral:rRNA from 1 species